rnacentral:rRNA from 1 species
UACAGAGGUGGCAAGCGUUGUUCGGAUUUAUUGGGCGUAAAGGGUCCGUAGGCGGUCUGGAAAGUUGGAUGUGAAAUCCCACAGCUUAACUGUGGAACUGCAUUCAAAACUUCCAGACUAGAGUGUGGAAGGGGUGAAGGGAAUUCCCGGUGUAAGGGUGAAAUCUGCAGAGAUCGGGAGGAACACCUGUCGCGAAGGCGCUUCACUGGUCCAAUACUGACGCUCAGGGACGAAAGCUAGGGUAGCAAACGGG